UCACCAUUUUCGGUGCACAGAGGCACAACUCACAAUUUAAGUGGCAGUUAAACCAUCAACACCAGUCUCAUUUCAGUAACCAGUUAGAACAGUCAGCUGCCAAAACAACAGAAACUCAGCCAGAGGAAGCAGAAACAAGUUACUUCAGCAAGCAGAGUAACAUACUGAAGAAUACAGAAAACAGAUCUUACUGACAAGUACUCUUACUCUACCUGACCAAACUCAGAACCUGGUGGGAAAUAGUAAGAAAACAUAAAAGGAGACCGAAGGAGACUAAAUACAUAGAGAAUCAGAACUUAAGAGAAGAACAAAACAGAACAGAAAAUUUUCUUGAGACUGAUAACAAAAAAGGCAAAUAAGAAUCUACUGCUGUAUACUUAAAUUUCCUCUGUUAUUUGUGAUCUCUGGAAUUUUGCACUGGUUUUAACAUGACAUUUCAAAAUAUCUCUGCUUUCCAAAUUGCCAUAUUGGAC